ACCAAUAUCUUCCUUCCCUGUCUCUAAGAGAGGCUUUUGGGUGGGACAUAGGUUGUUCUAAGCCUCAGGACUCUGGACAGAAGCCCAGAGUUCAGGCAGGCUUUUCUCCAAACACUCAGGCUUGGUGCCAGGCUGUGAAGCACCAAGUUGGGCAGCAGUUUGUGUUUCUUGGUCAAUUUCUGAAUGGUCCACUGUGGAGGGAUGGGAUUGGCACAGGUUGGCCAAACCUGGGUCCCCAGUGUGUGCUCGAUACGGAGAGGCUAAGAGAAGAAGACAGAAGGGAACUUGAAGGAAAAUAAUGGCCUGGAGAUUGGGCAAAUAGAGUGGCCCUGACUCCAGCUGAAUUCCAGCACUACAUUGAUCACACUAUUCUCCACAAAUACUUCUCCUCGCAGCCACAGAACUUGGGCCAUUUUCCUUUGCUGAGGGUUAACACAUGCCUGAUAGGCGCUGCAGAACCAACAUCGAGGCCGGUCUGCGGUAGAAUCAUUGCCUACUCCAGAUGCUGUGUUCAGGCCUGUUCAGGAAUUACACUCAAACAAGCAAGGGGUGGGAACAGAGGCCCAGAACUGUGAAGUUGUUUGCCUAGGUUGCUCAGCUGGUGAAUGAUGGAGUUUGGCACACACAUACAUCCCUCUGCCUGCCUCUGGAAUCCUUGGCUUUACAUCUCUUCCUGUACUCCCUUUCCCAACAGGACGCCAUCUCCCAAAGUGAACUCCAGGGGAAGAGAAAUACAUCACUAAACAGUGGG